rnacentral:rRNA from 1 species
AACUUAAAUGAAUUGACGGGGAGCACCACAACGGGUGAGCUUGCGGUUUAAUUGGAUUCAACGCGGAAAUCUUACCGGGACCGACAGCAAUAUGAAGGCCAGGCUGAAGACUUUGCCGGAUUAGCUGAGAGGUGGUGCAUGGCCGUCGUCAGUUCGUACUGUGAAGCAUCCUGUUAAGUCAGGCAACGAGCGAGACCCACGCCCACAGUUGCCAGCGUACUCUCUGGAGUGACGGGUACACUGUGGGGACCGCCGCUGCUAAAGCGGAGGAAGGAAUGGGCAACGGUAGGUCAGUAUGCCCCGAAUAUCCCGGGCUACACGCGAGCUACAAUGGUUGGUACAAUGGGUAUCUACCCCGAAAGGGGACGGGAAUCUCCUAAAACCAAUCUUAGUUCGGAUUGAGGGCUGCAACUCGCCCUCAUGAAGCUGGAAUCUGUAGUAAUCGUGUCUCAAAAUGGCACGGUGAAUAUGUCCCUGCUCCUU